rnacentral:rRNA from 1 species
UACGUAGGUGGCAAGCGUUGUCCGGAUUUACUGGGCGUAAAGAGCGCGCAGGCGGUCGUUCAAGUCGCGUGUGAAAGCCCCCGGCUCAACUGGGGAGGGUCACGCGAUACUGAUCGACUCGAAGGCAGGAGAGGGAAGUGGAAUUCCCGGUGUAGUGGUGAAAUGCGUAGAUAUCGGGAGGAACACCGGUGGCGAAGGCGGCUUCCUGGACCGACACUGACGCUGAGGCGCGAAAGCUAGGGGAGCAAACGGG